rnacentral:ncRNA from 1 species
AAACCACAACCAAGGGAAUGGGAUUCGAAGAAUCAAUGGGGAAAGAAGACCAUGUUGAUCUUGACUCCAGUCUGACUUUGUGAAAUGAAUUAAGAGGUGUAGAAUAAGUGCGAGUCGUUUUCAACGUAAGUGAAAUACCACUACUUUUAAUGUUAUUUUACUUAUUCCAUGGGGCAGAGACGAGUCAUUGCCCUUUUUUUGGCCAUAAGACACAUUUCGACAGGUCACUCUAGGUGGAAGACAUUGUUAGGUGGUGAGUUUGAUUGGGGAGGCACAACUAUUAAAAGAUAACACAUGUGCCCUAAGAUGAGCUCAACGAGAAUAGAAAUAUCAAGUGGAACAAAAGGGUAAAAUCUCAUUUUAUUUUCCACCAAGCUCUUGAUCCUUAUAAUUAAUUGAUGGAUAUGAAUUAAUAAAUUAAUUAGAUGUUUGCAUGCAUCAACAUAGUUAAUUUAAAAUACUAAUUUCUUGAGUGAGAUUAAGUGGCCAAUGGCACAUUUGGAGGAAUGGUUCAUGAAACCCUAGGAGAGGAUAGGCUAAUAGGACUAGAGAUGUCUGGAGGGAGUAUACAUAGGUAAUUAAUGUUAAUCACACUCACCAAUGACUAACGACCAACUUUAGACAUGCAAGGAAGUUAAUGUGCUUAAUCUAAACCUUUAAUUUAUGAGGACGUCGAAGAAUAUUCCAUUUCUAUUAAAUCAUGU